GACGAACGCUGGCGGCGUGCUUAACACAUGCAAGUCGAGCGGUAAGGCCCUUUCGGGGGUACACGAGCGGCGAACGGGUGAGUAACACGUGGGUGACCUGCCCUCAGCUCUGGGAUAAGCCUGGGAAACCGGGUCUAAUACUGGAUAUGACUCCAUGACGCAUGUUGUGGGGUGGAAAGCCUUGUGCGGCUGAGGAUGGGCCCGCGGCCUAUCAGCUUGUUGGGGGGUGAUGGCCUACCAAGGCGACGACGGGUAGCCGGCCUGAGAGGGCGACCGGCCACACUGGGACUGAGACGCGGCCCAGACUCCUACGGGAGGCAGCAGUGGGG
rnacentral:rRNA from 1 species